rnacentral:rRNA from 1 species
UCCAGACUCCUACGGGAGGCAGCAGUGGGGGAUAUUGCACAAUGGGGGGAACCCUGAUGCAGCGACGCCGCGUGGGUGAAGGAGCGUUUCGGCGCGUAAAGCCCUAUCGGCAGGGAAGAAGGAGGACGGUACCUGACUAAGAAGCCCCGGCUAACUACGUGCCAGCAGCCGCGGUAAUACGUAGGGGGCAAGCGUUAUCCGGAUUUACUGGGUGUAAAGGGGGCGCAGACGGCAGCGCAAGCCAGGAGUGAAAGCCCGGGGCCCAACCCCGGGACUGCUCUUGGAACUGCGCGGCUGGAGUGCAGGAGGGGCAGGCGGAAUUCCUGGUGUAGCGGUGAAAUGCGUAGAUAUCAGGAGGAACACCGGCGGCGAAGGCGGCCUGCUGGACCGUGACUGACGUUGAGGCUCGAGAGCGUGGGGAGCAAACAGGAUUAGAUACCCUUGUAGC